GGGCGACCCAGAGGGCCGCGGGGCUGCCGUCGGCUCGGCGCGCCCGGGCGCCGCGGAGACCACGAACUUGCCAGCGUCCCGGCGGCGGCACCGAGUCCCUUUGGCCCCGAGUGGCGCGGACGGGAUGCCCCCCUCCCCGGUCGCGGGGCAGCGGUGCUUGGCUGGCCAGGACGGUCACGUGAGGGGCCGUGCCCUCCGCAUUGGGAGCCCGCGGGCCUACCCGGGACAGGACCCCCCCGGGACCCGCCUGACCCUCCGGUUUCAGUUCCGACACGCUCGGCCCGAGCCUUGGCCAGGCUGGCCCGCCUCUUCUGCUGCCGUCUCUGCCUUUGCCCUGGUUUAACGCCGGGUUGGAGGAGCUGGGCCAGAGGAACGGAACUGGGUCGAAACUGUUCAGACCGGAGUUGCCCAAACUUUGGCCGCCCCGGGGAACCUUUCGCAAUCUCCAGGCUCUGGCCUCUCGGAGCUCCAGUUAAGCCGGAAUGUCAGGGAAGGGGUCAUUAAAGGAUUCCCCAGUGUCUUAUACAGUAGCCCAGAUUGGCUUUGAACUGCUGGGAAUACUCCUGCGUCGGUGCUGGGAUUCCAGGAAUCCACCACCAUGACCUGAUGGUCUGUCAUGUGUUUGGAAGAGUGUUCACAAUGUGAGGACACCUUAGUCACGAUGCUACUUUAAUAAUUAAUGGGAAAAGCGUUAGCUGAUCUCUCAUCUCGUGGAACAAAAAUGUUUAUACUGUUUGCCUGUUGAAUAGUAACAAACUGGCCAACAUUUGAAAGCUUCCAAUAUAAAUAAAGCAUUUUACUGACAAUUUUA